ACCCUGGGCCUGCAGUGGAUACGGGCAGACUAGAGGUAGGUAGGGGAGAAUGGAAUUCCCGGUGUAGCGGUGAAAUGCGCAGAUAUCGGGAGGAACACCGGUGGCGAAGGCGGUUCUCUGAACCAUCACUGACGCUGAGGCGCGAAAGCCAGGGGAGCGAACGGGAUUAGAUACCCCGGUAGUCCUGGCCCUAAACGAUGGAUACUAGGUGUGGGGGGUAUCGACCCCUCCCGCGCCGGAGCUAACGCAUUAAGUAUCCCGCCUGGGGAGUACGGCCGCAAGGUUGAAACUCAAAGGAAUUGACGGGGGCCCGCACAAGCGGUGGAGCAUGUGGUUUAAUUCGAUGCUACGCGAAGAACCUUACCAGGGCUUGACAUCCCCGGACCGGCGUGGAAACACGUUUUCUCCCG
rnacentral:rRNA from 1 species